GAUGAACGCUGGCGGCGUGCCUAAUACAUGCAAGUCGAGCGAACAGAUAAGGAGCUUGCUCCUUUGAAGUUAGCGGCGGACGGGUGAGUAACACGUGGGUAACCUACCUAUAAGACUGGGAUAACUUCGGGAAACCGGAGCUAAUACCGGAUAACAUUUAGAACCGCAUGGUUCUAAAGUGAAAGAUGGUUUUGCUAUCACUUAUAGAUGGACACGCGCCGUAUUAGCUAGUUGGUAAGGUAACGGCUUACCAAGGCGACGAUACGUAGCCGACCUGAGAGGGGGAUCGGCCACACUGGAACUGAGACACGGUCCAGACUCCUACGGGAGGCAGCGGUAGGGAAUCUUCCGCAAUGGGCGAAAGCCUGACGGAGCAACGCCGCGUGAGUGAUGAAGGGUUUCGGCUCGUAAAACUCUGUUAUUAGGGAAGAACAAAUGUGUAAGUAACUGUGCACAUCUUGACGGUACCUAAUCAGGAAGCCACGGCUAACUACGUGCCAGCCGCCGCGGUAA
rnacentral:rRNA from 1 species